CGCAGCGUAGCUCAACAGGAUAGAGCUCUCGGUUUCGACGGCCGGAUCUGAUUCGCGGUCUAGAACCGGUUGGCCGGGGAGGUUGCAGGUUCGAGCCCUGCCGCUGCGCCCA
rnacentral:tRNA from 1 species